UGACCGAUUUCUAUUAAAGACAACUGUUCGAGGUAGCCUCAGAAUCAAGCCCCCUAAACCGUAGUAUGCAGUAGAGGCAUCUGAACUAAUUAUAUGGGCCGUAAGUCGACGUCGAAUAUUGGAACAAUUUGAUUCACAAUUAGGUGUUACUCGAGAAUUAAUUAAAGGAACAUUACUGUAUUGAAUACCGCCAGAAACUCCGUAACGGCGAAAGUUAUCAUUUUC